GGAGAGCUGGCCGAGCGGCCUAAGGCGGCGGAUUGCUAAUCCGCAGCAGUGGCGUAUGCCGCUGCCGAGAGUUCGAAUCUCUCGCUCUCCG
rnacentral:tRNA from 1 species